rnacentral:rRNA from 1 species
GACUCUCGGCAACGGAUAUCUCGGCUCUCGCAUCGAUGAAGAACGUAGCGAAAUGCGAUACUUGGUGUGAAUUGCAGAAUCCCGUGAACCAUCGAGUCUUUGAACGCAAGUUGCCGCCGAAGCCGUUAGGCCGAGGGCACGUCUGCCUGGCGUCA